rfam:Camelus ferus unplaced genomic scaffold scaffold1537, whole genome shotgun sequence.
GAGGGUAUAGCUCAGUGAUAGAGUGCUUGUUUAGUGUGCAUGAGGUCCUGGGUUCAAGCCCCAGCACCUCCA